AUUGAACGCUGGCGGCAUGCCUUACACAUGCAAGUCGAACGGCAGCACGGGUGCUUGCACCUGGUGGCGAGUGGCGAACGGGUGAGUAAUACAUCGGAACGUACCUUAUCGUGGGGGAUAACGCAGCGAAAGCUGUGCUAAUACCGCAUACGCCCUGAGGGGGAAAGCGGGGGAUCGAAAGACCUCGCGCGAUUAGAGCGGCCGAUGCCUGAUUAGCUUGUUGGUGGGGUAAAAGCCCACCAAGGCGACGAUCAGUAGCUGGUCUGAGAGGACGGUCGGCCACACUGGGACUGAGACACGGCCCAGACUCCUACGGGAGGCAGCAGUGGGGAAGUUUGGACAAUGGGGGCAACCCUGAUCCAGCAAUGCCGCGUGAGUGAAGAAGGCCUUCGGGUUGUAAAGCUCUUUUGUCAGGGAAGAAACACCGGCUCUAACACAGUCCGGGAAUGACGGUACCUGAAGAAUAAGCACCGGCUAACUACGUGCCAGCAGCCGCGGUAA
rnacentral:rRNA from 1 species